CAUGUACCCCAAAACUUAUAAUAAUAAAAAACAAUUUUCAAAGGGGAAGUUAGUUUUUCACCCUCAAAAUGUGCUAUGAAAAUUGAAGAUAAUCUGAAUAUUUGUAAUUUGUUUCUUUUUCUUGAACGCAGUAAUAAUUUUAGAUAUGCUUAAUUUAACUUUCUAGUUUUAAGAUCAGAUUCUAAAAGGCAUGUUUUUAGUUAUUAACAAAAAGAUUUUAUGGGAAAAGUUCACCAUAUGAUUAUUUACAUUUUAUUUUUUAUCUUUAGUCUCUCCCUGUAAAAGAGAAUCAGCACAUCAUUUACUGUUAUUAUCAAUUUGGAUUCUCCAUGGUCUUUCCUGGAUUGCUCAUCUAUUUAAUACGAUAGCCAGCUUCUUGCAAGAAAGGGAAACAAAGCAAAGUAAGAACACAUUUGAAACACAAGGUGUAGAAGAAAAAAAGAAGCCAGGCCUUGGAAUACAAUACUUCAGCAGAAGGCUUUGGAUUGUGAAUUUCAACACUAUUAAUGGAGCAAUUGAAAUAGCAGCCACCCAAAAAGUGGCUUGCUGUUGUACUGAUCAGAUCUUCCAGUGACUUCUCUCCUUGAAAGGUAUUUGAGCCACGCUAGUUCCUUUGGAUUGAGCAAAUCCUAGGAUUCAUUGGAAUAAUUUGGGGGUAGAAAAGGGAAACCUCAAGGACUUCUUAGAAAUCAUAAACUGUUUUACAGGCUAGCACUAGUGUCUUACCCAUCAUGAGGACAAAAUGUAAAGGGGCACCAAAAACCUCUGUAAUCAAGAUACAUCAUGUUUUAGUGAAAUGUUUUUAAAAUUUAAAAAACUAUGUGAAAAUAUCCAGGAUUAACAAAAUAUAAAAAUUUUAAAUAAAAGCAGGAUAAACAUGACAGAUUUUUCCUAUUGCUUCAGACUUCAGUAGGGCUUGGAAUGGCACUAUUACUAACCCUGUAUUUAAAUGUUGAUACUUUAUUCAUAAUAAAUUUGUUUGCAUUAAUGUAUUA